UACGUAGGGUGCAAGCGUUGUCCGGAAUUAUUGGGCGUAAAGAGCUCGUAGGCGGUGUGUCACGUCGUUCGUGAAAACCUGCAGCUUAACUGUGGGCGUGCGGUCGAUACGGGCAUCACUGGAGUUCGGCAGGGGAGACUGGAAUUCCUGGUGUAGCGGUGAAAUGCGCAGAUAUCAGGAGGAACACCCGUGGCUAAGGCGGCUCUCUAGUACGGUACUGACGCUGAGACGCGAAAGCGUGGGGAGCGAACAGG
rnacentral:rRNA from 1 species